GCAUUCGUGCCCGAGCGGUCUAAG
rnacentral:snRNA from 1 species